rnacentral:rRNA from 1 species
UGCGUAGGCGGGCUAAUAAGUCAGUGGUGAAAUCUUUCGGCUCAACCGAGAAACUGCCAUUGAUACUGUUAGUCUUGAGUUCGGUUGAGGUAGGCGGAAUGUGUAAUGUAGCGGUGAAAUGCUUAGAUAUUACACAGAACACCAAUUGCGUAGGCAGCUUACUAGACCGACACUGACGCUGAGGCACGAAAGCGUGGGUAGCGAACAGGAUUAGAUACCCUGGUAGUC